UUGCUCACUUGGGCAGCACAUAUACUAAAACUGGAACAAUACAGAGAUUAACAUGGCCCCUGCACAAGGAUGGCACACAAAUUCAUGAAGCAUUCUGUAUUUUU